UAGAGUUUGAUCCUGGCUCAGAUUGAACGCUGGCGGCAGGCUUAACACAUGCAAGUCGAACGGUAGCAGGAGAAAGCUUGCUUUCUUGCUGACGAGUGGCGGACGGGUGAGUAAUGCUUAGGAAUCUGGCUUAUGGAGGGGGAUAACUACGGGAAACUGUAGCUAAUACCGCGUAGUGUCGAGAGACGAAAGUGCGGGACCGCAAGGCCGCAUGCCAUGAGAUGAGCCCAAGUGGGAUUAGGUAGUUGGUGGGGUAAAGGCCUACCAAGCCUGCGAUCUCUAGCUGGUCUGAGAGGAUGGCCAGCCACACUGGAACUGAGACACGGUCCAGACUCCUACGGGAGGCAGCAGUGGGGUUUUUUGCGCAGUGGGGGGUNCCCUGNCGCAGCCCUGCCGCGUGUNUGNNGNUGGCCUUCGGGUUGUNNUGUUCUUUCGGUNUUGNGGGAGGUUGNUGUGUUNNUUGUNCCUCNNNUUGNCGUUUUNUCCCGUNGUGGCGCCGGCUNNCUCCGUGCCNGCCGCCGCGGUNNUUCGGNGGGUGCGCGCGUUCCUCGGUUUNUCUGGGCGUNNNGGGCCCGCCGGCGGUUUUUUGUGUGUGGUGUGGGAGCCCCGGGCUUCCCCUGGGCNUUGCCUUUCCGNCUGGGUUCUUUGCGUUCUUUAGGGAGGGGUUGUUUUCCUCGUGUGGCGGUGAAAGGCGUAGAGAUGGGGAGGAAUACCGGUGGCGGGGGCUGCCCCUUGGGAAUGUACUGCGGCUCUUGUGCGGGGGCGUGGGGAGCAAACAGGGAUUAGAUACCCUGGUAGUCCACGCUGUAAACGCUGUCGAUUUGGGGAAUUGGGCUUAGAGCUUGGUGCCCGUAGCUAACGUGAUAAAUCGACCGCCCGGGGAGUACGGCCGCAAGGUUAAAACUCAAAUGAAUUGACGGGGGCCCGCACAAGCGGUGGAGCAUGUGGUUUAAUUCGAAGCAACGCGAAGAACCUUACCAGGUCUUGACAUCCCUCUGACCGCUCUAGAGAUAGAGUUUUCCUUCGGGACAGAGGUGACAGGUGGUGCGUGGUUGUCGUCAGCUCGUGUCGUGAGAUGUUGGGUUAAGUCCCGCAACGAGCGCAACCCCUAUUGUUAGUUGCCAUCAUUCAGUUGGGCACUCUAGCGAGACUGCCGGUAAUAAACCGGAGGAAGGUGGGGAUGACGUCAAAUCAUCAUGCCCCUUAUGACCUGGGCUACACACGUGCUACAAUGGCUGGUACAACGAGUCGCAAGCCGGUGACGGCAAGCUAAUCUCUUAAAGCCAGUCUCAGUUCGGAUUGUAGGCUGCAACUCGCCUACAUGAAGUCGGAAUCGCUAGUAAUCGCGGAUCAGCACGCCGCGGUGAAUACGUUCCCGGGCCUUGCACACACCGCCCGUCA
rnacentral:rRNA from 1 species